CCUACGGGUGGCAGCAGUGAGGAAUAUUGGUCAAUGGUCGGGAGACUGAACCAGCCAAGCCGCGUGAGGGAUGAAGGUACAGAGUAUCGUAAACCUCUUUUGUCAGGGAACAAAGGCGGGGACGUGUCCCCGGAUGAGUGUACCUGAAGAAAAAGCAUCGGCUAACUCCGUGCCAGCAGCCGCGGUAAUACGGGGGAUGCGAGCGUUAUCCGGAUUUAUUGGGUUAAAAGGGUGCGCAGGCGGUCUGUUAAGACAGCGGUAAAAGCCCGGGGCUCAACCCCGGCCCGCCGUUGAAACUGGCAGUCUCGAGUUGGAGAGAAGUAUGCGGAAUGCGCGGGGUAGCGGUGAAAUGCAUAGAUAUCGCGCAGAACUCCGAUUGCGAAGGCAGCAUGCCGGCUCCACACUGACGCUGAGGCACGAAAGCGUGGGUAUCGAACAGGAUUAGAUACCCCAGUAGUC
rnacentral:rRNA from 1 species